rnacentral:rRNA from 1 species
ACGUACGCUGGCGGCACGCCUAACACAUGCAAGUCGAACGAAGUAGCAAUACUUAGUGGCAGACGGGUGAGUAACAUGUGGGUAUCUGCCCUUUGGCCUGGAAUAACACGAGGAAACUUGUGCUAAUACCGGAUAAGUCUUUACAGAGAAAGCUUUAUGCACCAUUGGAUGAGCCCGCACUUGAUUAGUUUGUUGGUGGGGUAAUGGCCUACCAAGACUGUGAUCAAUAGCUGAUUUGAGAGGAUGAUCAGCCACAUUGGGACUGAGACACGGCCCAAACUCCUACGGGAGGCAGCAGUGGGGAAUCUUGCACAAUGGAGGAAACUCUGAUGCAGCGAUGCCGCGUGAGUGAAGAAGGCCCUUGGGUUGUAAAGCUCUUUCGUCGGGGAAGAAAAUGACUGUACCCGAAUAAGAAGGUCCGGCUAACUUCGUGCCAGCAGCCGCGGUAAUACGAAGGGACCUAGCGUAGUUCGGAAUUACUGGGCUUAAAGAGUUCGUAGGUGGUUGAAAAAGUUGGUGGUGAAAUCCCAGAGCUUAACUCUGGAACUGCCAUCAAAACUUUUCAGCUAGAGUAUGAUAGAGGAAAGCAGAAUUUCUAGUGUAGAGGGUGAAAUUCGUAGAUAUUAGAAAGAAUACCAAUUGCGAAGGCAGCUUUCUGGAUCAUUACUGACACUGAGGAACGAAAGCAUGGGUAGCGAAGAGGAUUAGAUACCCUCGUAGUCCAUGCCGUAAACGAUGUGUGUUAGACGUUGGAAAUUUAUUUUCAGUGUCGCAGGGAAACCGAUAAACACACCGCCUGGGGAGUACGACCGCAAGGUUAAAACUCAAAUGAAUUGACGGGGACCCGCACAAGUAGUGGAGCAUGUGGUUUAAUUCGAAGAUACGCGCAGAACCUUACCAACACUUGACAUGUUCGUCGCGACUCUAAGAGAUUAGAGUUUUCGGUUCGGCCGGACGAAACACAGGUGCUGCAUGGCUGUCGUCAGCUCGUGUCGUGAGAUGUUGGGUUAAGUCCCGCAACGAGCGCAACCCUCACUUUUAGUUGCCAUCAUUAAGUUGGGCACUCUGAAAGAACUGCCAGUGAUAAGCUGGAGGAAGGUGGGGAUGACGUCAAGUCCUCAUGGCCCUUACGUGUUGGGCUACACACGUGCUACAAUGGUAUCUACAACAGGAAGCAAGACUGCGAAGUUAAGCAAAUCCCUAAAAGAUACCUCAGUUCGGAUUGCACUCUGCAACUCGAGUGCAUGAAGCUGGAAUUACUAGUAAUCGUGGAUCAGCGUGCCACGGUGAAUGCGUUCCCGGGUCUUGUACACACCGCCC